rnacentral:rRNA from 1 species
AGCAGCCGCGGUAAUUCCAGCUCCAAUAGCGUAUAUUAAAGUUGUUGCAGUUAAAAAGCUCGUAGUUGAAUUUCGGGAUCGACGGGUCGGUCGCGCCUCUGGUGUGUACUGGCCCUGUCGGUUUCUCCCUUCUGACGAACCACGAUGUCAUUAAUUUGGUGUCGUGGGAAAUCAGGACUGUUACUUUGAAAAAAUUAGAGUGUUUAAAGCAGGCAUUCGCUUGAAUACAUUAGCAUGGAAUAAUGAAAUAGGACGUUUUGAUCUUAUUUUGUUGGUUUUCUAAGAUCGACGUAAUGAUUAAUAGGGAUAGUUGGGGGCAUUAGUAUUCAAUUGUCAGAGGUGAAAUUCUUGGAUUUAUUGAAGACUAACUACUGCGAAAGCAUUUGCCAAGGAUGUUUUCAUUAAUCAAGAACGAAAGUUAGGGGAUCGAAGACGAUCAGAUACCGUCGCAGUCUUAGCCAUAAACUAUGCCGACU